rnacentral:rRNA from 1 species
UCCCCUAGUAACUGCGAGUGAAGGGGGAUUAGCCCAGCACCGAAGCCUGCGGCCGUUUGGCUGUUAGGCAAUGUGGUGUUUAGGUUGACUUUUGGCAUUACUGCUCCAUCCUAAGUCCAGCACUGAGUAUGGCAACUGGAAUGGCCCAUGGAGGGUGAAAGGCCCGUGGGGAUGGAGAUCAAGUCGGACAGUUUUGCCCUUAGUCUACCUUGGAGUCGGGUUGUUUGUGAAUGCAGCCCAAAGUGGGUGGUAAACUCCAUCCAAGGCUAAAUACAAGCACGAGUCCGAUAGCGAACAAGUACCGUGAGGGAAAGUUGAAAAGUACUUUGAAGAGAGAGUAAACAGUG